ensembl:snRNA U6 U6 spliceosomal RNA
GUGCUCACUUUGGCAGCACACAUACUAAAAUUGGAAUGAUACGGAGAAGAUUAGCAUGGCCCCGGUGCAAGGAUGACAUGCAAAUUUGUGAAGCAUUUCAUAUUUUU